rnacentral:tRNA from 1 species
AAGAAAUUAGUUAAAAUAUAACAUUAAUAUGUCAUAUUAAAAUUAUUAUAACAUAAUAUUUCUUG